UCAUCUAUCUACUUAAGGCUUAUAGUAGGCUAGUUCCACCCACGAGGGAGACUGUCUUAGCCUGCUUACCAACUGUCCGCAGUGGGCCAUCAAAUUAAAGAAAGAACCUCUCUUGCGGAAAUAGAUGCAAAGACCGGAAGAAGGGAAGUAGCUUAUCAAAAAGCCAAUGCCCGCCGUAGCUUAUCAAAAAUCCAAUGCCCGCUUCAACCGGUGCUUGACCUUAGUGGACAGACCAUCAAAGAAAAGCUAGCAUAGCGAAGAAGGUAGACCUAGCAGCCUUACUUCUGAGAGGUCUACGCGCCAUAAAUGGAUCUUUUGCUUUCUAUCAAUUGAUUGGGAUGUGUAUGAAAAAGUAAAAAAUUGUCACAAGUGGAGUCAGAUAGAGAUAGGCAGGGAUGUGCUCUGGCAAAGAGAGGAAAGGCGAGUUAGAAGGGUGCAGCUGCCCGAGCUAAUGAAAGGCAAGGGUAAAGGAAUUGGCCUUGAGAUAGAAAUGAGGGGAAUUCUCCGUAAGCACAUAGCUCAUAGAGGAAUGGCUUGGGAAUGGUAGAUCUAGUCUAGUUAAGCUAAUUGAAGAAUCACCCACGAAAGGCACGAAGUAGCUCGAACAAAGUGAGAGGAACAAAGAGAGAUUUCUCAGUGCAGUCCGCCGAAUUAAUUAAAUU
rnacentral:lncRNA from 1 species